GCGGCAGGCCUAACACAUGCAAGUCGAACGCUGUAGCAAUACAGAGUGGCAGACGGGUGAGUAACGCGUGGGAACAUGCCCUUCGGUUCGGAAUAACUCAGGGAAACUUGAGCUAAUACCGGAUACGCCCUUAGGGGGAAAGAUUUAUUGCCGAAGGAUUGGCCCGCGUCCGAUUAGCUAGUUGGUGAGGUAAUGGCUCACCAAGGCGACGAUCGGAAGCUGGUCUGAGAGGAUGAUCAGCCACACUGGGGCUGAGACACGGCCCAGACUCCUACGGGAGGCAGCAGUGGGGAAUAUUGGACAAUGGGCGCAAGCCUGAUCCAGCCAUGCCGCGUGAGUGAUGAAGGCCCUAGGGUUGUAAAGCUCUUUCGCCAGGGACGAUAAUGACGGUACCUGGAUAAGAACCCCGGCUAACUUCGUGCCA
rnacentral:rRNA from 1 species